CGGUAAUACGAAGGGUGCAAGCGUUACUCCGGAAUUACUGGGCGUAAAGCGUGCGUAGGUGGUGAUUUAAGUCUGUUGUGAAAGCCCUGGGCUCAAACCUGGGAAUUGCAGUGGAUACUGGGUCACUAGAGUGUGGUAGAGGGUAGCGGAAUUUCCCGGUGUAGCAGUGAAAUGCGUAGAGAUCGGGAGGAACAUCCGUGGCGAAGGCGGCUACCUGGACCAACACUGACACUGAGGCACGAAAGCGUGGGGAGCAAACAGGAUUAGAUACCCUGGUAGUCCACGCCCUAAAACGAUGCGAACUGGAUGUUGGGUGCAAUUUGGCACGCAGUAUCGAAGCUAACGCGUUAAGUUCGCCGCCUGGGGAGUACGGUCGCAAGACUGAAACUCAAAGGAAUUGACGGGGGCCCGCACAAGCGGUGGAGUAUGUGGUUUAAUUCGAUGCAACGCGAAGAACCUUACCUGGUCUUGACAUCCACGGAACUUUCC
rnacentral:rRNA from 1 species